GCCAGCAAGGUAUUGUAUAGCUCAGCCAGUAGAACAUGAGACUCUUAAUCUCAAGGUUGUGGGUUUGAGCUCCACAUUAGGCA